UCUGGGGCCUUGUAGUGAACUGCCAUAAGGUGGAGGGUUUCUUUUUUGAAUUGUUUCCGCUCAGGUUUGCAGCUUCGUGAGGCUGCAUGUUGUCUUUCCUUUCCUGAUAGGGACUAGGGAGCUCUCUCUUUGUUCUAAACAAGGCAGAAUAUGGCAAACAAAAAUUCAGGAUUAUCUUGACUUUUGAGAUUUGGCGGAAGCUCCAGUAGUAAUCCAGGAGAAGAUCAUACCAUAUUUAAAGCUACAGUGACCAGUCAAUGCUUUCGACAAUUUGUCUCCGUAGAAGCUUAAACCAUCCCAACAUAGUGAAUUUGAUUGGUUACAGCCUUGAUGGAGACCAGAUAGUUUAAAGAAAGGUCUCCAGAAUCUAUGGAUACACGCCACUUAGGUGUUCGGGCCUCUUCACAUAGAAUCCGAGAAACGUGAACUGGUGGGAGGUAAGGAAUUCAUCACGGUGGCUGAUCCACUGCUGGAAGGCCGUUAUCCAGAGCAAGGCUU